rnacentral:rRNA from 1 species
UACGGAGGGGGCAAGCGUUGUUCGGAAUCACUGGGUGUAAAGGGUGCGUAGGCGGCGCGGUAAGUCGGGUGUGAAAUCUCGGAGCUUAACUCCGAAACUGCAUUCGAUACUGCCGUGCUUGAGGACUGGAGAGGAGACUGGAAUUUACGGUGUAGCGGUGAAAUGCGUAGAUAUCGUAAGGAAGACCAGUGGCGAAGGCGGGUCUCUGGACAGUUCCUGACGCUGAGGCACGAAGGCCAGGGGAGCAAACGGG